AACGAACGCUGGCGGCAUGCCUAACACAUGCAAGUCGAACGAAGGCUUCGGCCUUAGUGGCGCACGGGUGAGUAACGCGUGGGAAACUGCCUAUUGGUGGGGAAUAACGACGGGAAACUGUCGCUAAUACCGCAUAAGCCCUUCGGGGGAAAGAUUUAUCGCCGAUAGAUGUGCCCGCGUCCGAUUAGCUAGUUGGUGAGGUAAUGGCUCACCAAGGCGACGAUCGGUAGCUGGUCUGAGAGGAUGAUCAGCCACACUGGGACUGAGACACGGCCGAGACUCCUACGGGAGGCAGCAGUGGGGAAUAUUGGACAAUGGGCGAAAGCCUGAUCCAGCAAUGCCGCGUGAGUGAUGAAGGCCUUAGGGUUGUAAAGCUCCUUCGGGUGGGACGAUGAUGACGGUACCACCAGAAGAAGCCCCGGCUAACUUCGUGCCAGCCGCCGCAGUAA
rnacentral:rRNA from 1 species